UGCCAGCCGCCGCGGUAAUACGGAGGUUGCAAGCGUUGUUCGGAAUUACUGGGCGUAAAGGGGGGGCAGGCGGUUAGGACAGUCUGGAGUGAAAGUCCAGGGCUCAACCUUGGAAAGCCUUUGGAUACUGCCUAACUAGAGUACGGGAGAGGAGAGUGGAAUUCCUGGUGUAGCGGUGAAAUGCGUAGAUAUCAGGAGGAACACCAGUGGCGAAAGCGACUCUCUGGCCCGAUACUGACGCUGAGGCCCGAAAGCGUGGGGAGCGAACAGGAUUAGAUA
rnacentral:rRNA from 1 species